UAGAACUGUAGUCAACUAUGAUAUAUGAUUUGCACUCAUAAGGUGUUUUUAAACCUGUUUU
rnacentral:tRNA from 1 species